UACGGAGGGUGCAAGCGUUAUCCGGAUUCACUGGGCUUAAAGGGUGCGUAGGUGGGCAAGUAAGUCAGUGGUGAAAUCUCCGGGCUUAACCCGGAAACUGCAAUUGAUACUAUUUGUCUUGAAUACUGUGGAGGUCAGCGGAAUAUGUCAUGUAGCGGUGAAAUGCUUAGAUAUGACAUAGAACACCAAUUGCGAAGGCAGCUGGCUGCACAAAUAUUGACACUGAGGCACGAAAGCGUGGGGAUCAAACAGG
rnacentral:rRNA from 1 species